UGUUUCGGCAAGGGGGUCAUCCCGACUUACCAACCCGAUGCAAACUGCGAAUACCGGAGAAUGUUAUCACGGGAGACACACGGCGGGUGCUAACGUCCGUCGUGAAGAGGGAAACAACCCAGACCGCCAGCUAAGGUCCCAAAGUCAUGGUUAAGUGGGAAACGAUGUGGGAAGGCCCAGACAGCCAGGAUGUUGGCUUAGAAGCAGCCAUCAUUUAAAGAAAGCGUAAUAGCUCACUGGUCGAGUCGGCCUGCGCGGAAGAUGUAACGGGGCUAAACCAUGCACCGAAGCUGCGGCAGCGACGCUUAUGCGUUGUUGGGUAGGGGAGCGUUCUGUAAGCCUGUGAAGGUGUGCUGUGAGGCAUGCUGGAGGUAUCAGAAGUGCGAAUGCUGACAUAAGUAACGAUAAAGCGGGUGAAAAGCCCGCUCGCCGGAAGACCAAGGGUUCCUGUCCAACGUUAAUCGGGGCAGGGUGAGUCGACCCCUAAGGCGAGGCCGAAAGGCGUAGUCGAUGGGAAACAGGUUAAUAUUCCUGUACUUGGUGUUACUGCGAAGGGGGGACGGAGAAGGCUAUGUUGGCCGGGCGACGGUUGUCCCGGUUUAAGCGUGUAGGCUGGUUUUCCAGGCAAAUCCGGAAAAUCAAGGCUGAGGCGUGAUGACGAGGCACUACGGUGCUGAAGCAACAAAUGCCCUGCUUCCAGGAAAAGCCUCUAAGCAUCAGGUAACAUCAAAUCGUACCCCAAACCGACACAGGUGGU
rnacentral:rRNA from 1 species